UAAAGGGGGUUACCAUUGAGAAAUUGGUAAAAAGAGGGGUUACCGAUUAGAAUUUCCCAAAAUUCUUUCAUUGUGCCAAAGCGUAAACUUAAGAAACUGAAGGAUCUUCAGAAAGAUCAUCCGACUCCAUGCUGUGCUGCGAAUCUAUAUCAAAAGGAGCCCAACACCAUUUGCUUCUUCUACCUCCUUUUAUCUCUCUCUUGUAGAUUUCGUUCAAAGUAUCAGGACUUUUCUGUUAUUCACAAAAGAUGAUUGACGAGGUAAGAGAUAUGUGGGCAGCAUAUUUGGAAAACCAAACAAAGUGGAUGGAUAUUGAAGACAACGACGGUCAAAUUUGAAUUGUACAUAUUAUUUGAUUUUUUUUAGAAUUUUAGUUUUAGUAGGUAGCAUUAGAUUAUAAAAACUUUAUUUUUAUGAUAUUAUUGGAAGAAAUUGAUGCUUUAAGAGAAAUUAUUAAAUGUAGCAAAUAUUUUUUUGACAAGAUGAAUAGAUCAAUCAAAGAAAACCUGUUUAAUAA